rnacentral:rRNA from 1 species
AUUGAACGCUGGCGGCAUGCUUUACACAUGCAAGUCGAACGGUAACAGGCCGCAAGGUGCUGACGAGUGGCGGACGGGUGAGUAAUGCAUCGGAACGUGCCCAGUCGUGGGGGAUAACUACUCGAAAGAGUAGCUAAUACCGCAUACGAUCUAUGGAUGAAAGCGGGGGACCGUAAGGCCUCGCGCGAUUGGAGCGGCCGAUGUCAGAUUAGGUAGUUGGUGGGGUAAAGGCGCCCCAAGCCAACGAUCUGUAACUGGUCUGAGAGGACGACCAGCCACACUGGGACUGAGACACGGCCCAGACUCCUACGGGAGGCAGCAGUGGGGAAUUUUGGACAAUGGGCGCAAGCCUGAUCCAGCAAUGCCGCGUGCAGGAAGAAGGCCUUCGGGUUGUAAACUGCUUUUGUACGGAACGAAACGGCUCUGGUUAAUACCCGGGGAUAAUGACGGUACCGUAAGAAUAAGCACCGGCUAACUACGUG